rnacentral:tRNA from 1 species
AGUAGGGUCAGCUAAUUAAGCUAUUGGGCCCAUACCCCAAAAAUGAUGGUUUGACUCCUUCCCCUACUA